AACGCACAUUGCGCCCCGUGGUAUUCCGCGGGGCAUGCCUGUUCGAGCGUCAUUUCACCACUCAAGCCUCGCUUGGUAUUGGGCGCCGCGUGUUCGCACGCGCGCCUCAAAGUCUUUCCGGCUGAGUCGUCCGUCUCCCAGCGUUGUGAUACAUUUUCGCUUCGGAGUGCGGGUGGCCGCGGCCGUUAAAUCUUCUCACAGGUUGACCUCGGAUCAGGUAGGGAUACCCGCUGAACUUAA
rnacentral:misc_RNA from 1 species